rnacentral:rRNA from 1 species
GCUACGGGAGGCAGCAGUGAGGAAUAUUGGUCAAUGGACGAGAGUCUGAACCAGCCAAGUAGCGUGAAGGAUGACUGCCCUAUGGGUUGUAAACUUCUUUUAUAAAGGAAUAAAACGAGGCACGUGUGCCUUUUUGCAUGUACUUUAUGAAUAAGGAUCGGCUAACUCCGUGCCAGCAGCCGCGGUAAUACGGGGGAUCCGAGCGUUAUCCGGAUUUAUUGGGUUUAAAGGGAGAGUAGAUGGGUUGUUAAGUCAGUUGUGAAAGUUUGCGGCUCAACCGUAAAAUUGCAAUUGAUACUGGCAGUCUUGAGUACAGUUGAGGUAGGCGGAAUUCGUGGUGUAGCGGGUAAAUGCUUAGAUAUCACGAAGAACCCCGAUUGCGAAGGCAGCUUACUAAACUGUGACUGACAUUGAUGCUCGAAAGUGUGGGUAUCAAACAGGAUUAGAUACCCCAGUAGUC